UUAUGAACACUGGGGCAGCAAAUAGGGAGUAGCUCUAUUAAAUAUGACAUUUGCACUGUUGCAAAUUGAGGUAAUUUCAGGUUUGUGGCUAUUUUUUCGAUGGUUUCAGCAUAUUAGAAAUUAAUCCACCCCCACACCCCCAAACUUUAUUUCUUUAUCAGCAUUGUAGUGUUGUCCCAGAAGCCUCUCAUGCAACAAACACACAAAGGGUGCUGUCAGCCUGAGGGAAGGGUGUCUGCAGGAGCAGGAAGGAUAAGCAGACUGGGAUAAACUGGGUUAACAGCUGGAGCAAGGCAAAAAGGCAGUGCUGGGGUGCAGCAGAGCCUCCUCUCUGUGGGCCGGCUACGACCUCGCAGCAGUGGGAAUGGGAACCCCCACCCUGGUGGUUUUUUGGCAUCUUUGACCUGGCAAGCUGGAAGCUGAGGACAAGCUGAAGGCUGGUUCUGUCCCUCUCUUCCCAGCAGAACCUCUGGCAUCAGACUGGGAGCUGCCUGAGAUGUCACCACCACCAAGGUACCGCAGGGCUGGCCACAGGGACAUCCUGUCAUUUCUACACUCCUGUCAUUUUUAUAACCUCCAAGACAAAUUAUAUCCCAGUGUGAUGCUGCUGGAUCUGGUGUCCUUGUGCACCAGGAAUCUAGGUCCUGUGCCCAAAGAGAGGGGCUUUUAGUUAAGGUUUUUGACUCUUUUGACUCUUAUUUCCCCACAUGAAGGCAAAAUAAGAGAAUAUUUUAUUGGGGAAGAUAUGGCCAAGGGGAAUACUGAGUGGGAGGGUGUGAGUUUGAGCCCUCAGCAGAUGAGGCACUUCAUCACCUCACUAGGAACACACACAUUUACUAAGCCAUCCUUCCUCACCCAUGAGCAAUGCCUGGUUUCUUCUGGAUAUUCCCUCCUGACAGGAUCUUCUGCUACCACAGAACACGUCCAUGGCCACACCAGGCUGGGCCAAAAGUCCAUAUGGAUGAGUCCUCUGUAUCCCACAGUGGCCACAAGUGAAAGCUCAAGGAAGAGGAGCUCAGCCAGUGGCCAGCCCAAUUUAUCAAUGUGCGCUUUACUCAUCUCAAAAUAAAAAUAAGCAUUAUUGUAAGAAGUUGCUUCGAAUGAAACACUGAAUUCUUGCAUUGGACAAUUGUCUCAGGCACGUGUUGGGAUUCUUGGGGCUGUCCUGUGCAGGGCAAGGACUUAGACUCAAAAAUGAUCCUUUUGUGUCUCUCCCAGCUCAGGAUAUUCUUUGAUUCCAUUAUUCUGCAUUUAUGGGCUAAAUGUUAUAAAGUGUCUGAAUUUCUGUCAGUAGGGAGAGUCAUUGCAAACAACUGACUGCAAAUCAGUGAGUGAAUGAGAGUGGAUCUCCACAAAAGUGCACUCAAUUCAUUUGCUAAUUACAGCUCGUUUUUAACUAUGAAAAUACAUUUUAGCACAUGUGUAAUGUAUACAUUGCCGAAAAGAAAAGUCAGAGCAUAGAAGUAGAAGCAGUAGAAGACCUAACCUCGGUGAAAUCUUUGCUGAGGGAAAGAGUCCUUCCAUUUUUUACUGCACUUCAGCAUAAUGGUUUCUCUGGAGUCUUAUUCUGCAAUCCUCGCUCCUACCUAUGUAUUCUUUAGAGACAAUGUGUGUGAGCUGUUCAGAAGUUUAAAGAGCGCUGCACUGGUUGUUUUUACCUCCUGUUACUUCAUUAAACCCGCGGUUCAAGCUCAGGGGAGGCCUCCUGUUUGGGGAGUUGGUCCUCUCUGCUAUUUUGGCCGCAUAUCUUGUUGUUUUCCCAGAAUGUGUUCAGCUGAAGUAGCGCCGAGGGAAGGGAGGAGUGAGCCCCGGUCCCGAACGAGACUGGUUUUCUCAGGCCACCAGCGGCCCGAGCGCUGUCACACCGGGCUGCAAUGUCACCGAGGAAGGGUUAUUCAUUCAGUUUGUGCUGCAACAGGCGCUCGGUGCUGCAGACCUCCGAACCAAACCAAACCAAACCAAACCGGACCGAACCGAACCGAACCGAACCAAACCAAACCAAACCAAACCAAACCAAGGAGAUGCUCCUAAGAAAUUCCGAGUGGGAAACAGGAGAUGGCUCCAGGAGCGGCGCUGGAGGCGAGCGCUCACCACGGCCGGGGCUGCCCUCACGGCAUGGGGAACCUAAGGACGGGAAUUUCCCGGAG